GCGAUGAUUAAAGAUAGCUUGCUAUUUUUAUGAAGAGCGGCGAACGGGUGAGUAACGCGUGGGAAAUCUGCCGAGUAGCGGGGGACAACGUUUGGAAACGAACGCUAAUACCGCAUAACAAUGAGAAUCGCAUGAUUCUUAUUUGAAAGAAGCAAUUGCUUCACUACUUGAUGAUCCCGCGUUGUAUUAGCUAGUUGGUAGUGUAAAGGACUACCAAGGCGAUGAUACAUAGCCGACCUGAGAGGGUGAUCGGCCACACUGGGACUGAGACACGGCCCAGACUCCUACGGGAGGCAGCAGUAGGGAAUCUUCGGCAAUGGGGGCAACCCUGACCGAGCAACGCCGCGUGAGUGAAGAAGGUUUUCGGAUCGUAAAACUCUGUUGUUAGAGAAGAACGUUAAGUAGAGUGGAAAAUUACUUAAGUGACGGUAUCUAACCAGAAAGGGACGGCUAACUACGUGCCAGCAGCCGCGGUAAUACGUAGGUCCCAAGCGUUGUCCGGAUUUAUUGGGCGUAAAGCGAGCGCAGGUGGUUUCUUAAGUCUGAUGUAAAAGGCAGUGGCUCAACCAUUGUGUGCAUUGGAAACUGGGAGACUUGAGUGCAGGAGAGGAGAGUGGAAUUCCAUGUGUAGCGGUGAAAUGCGUAGAUAUAUGGAGGAACACCGGAGGCGAAAGCGGCUCUCUGGCCUGUAACUGACACUGAGGCUCGAAAGCGUGGGGAGCAAACAGGAUUAGAUACCCUGGUAGUCCACGCCGUAAACGAUGAGUGCUAGCUGUAGGGAGCUAUAAGUUCUCUGUAGCGCAGCUACGCAUUAAGCACUCCGCCUGGGGAGUACGACCGCAAGGUUGAAACUCAAAGGAAUUGACGGGGGCCCGCACAAGCGGUGGAGCAUGUGGUUUAAUUCGAAGCAACGCGAGAACCUUACCAGGUCUUGACAUACUCGUGCUAUCCUUAGAGAUAAGGAGUUCCUUCGGGACACGGGAUACAGUGGUGCAUGGUUGUCGUCAGCUCGUGUCGUGAGAUGUUGGGUUAAGUCCCGCACGAGCGCACCCUUAUACUAGUGCAUCAUAGUGGGCACCUCUAGUGAGACUGCGGUGAUUACGAAGGAUGUGGGAUGACGUCAAUCAUCAUGCCCCUUAUGACCUGGGCCUACACACACGUGCUAACAAUGGAAUG
rnacentral:rRNA from 1 species